rnacentral:rRNA from 1 species
UACGUAGGAGGCGAGCGUUGUCCGGAAUUACUGGGCGUAAAGCGCGCGUAGGCGGCGCGGUACGACCUGUGUGAAAGCCCCCGGCUCAACUGGGGAGGGUCGCAGGUAACGGCCGUGCUUCUGAGUGCAGGAGAGGGACGUGGAACUCCGGGAGUAGCGGUGAAAUGCGUAGAGACCCGGAGGAACACCAGUGGCGAAGGCGGCGUCCUGGCCUGCGACUGACGCUGUGGCGCGAAAGCUAGGGGAGCGAACGGG